AGGCACUCAAGCGACCAGCAGCUGCAUUGUCUCAUUGCCUGACCUUGCACAAGUGAACAGGGAGCCUGGGAGAGGCAGAUGACCCUGGUCUAUCAUUAGAGCUGCAAUUCAUGGUGUCCGUGAGAGCCAAGAUCCACUUUGCACAGAAAGUCUGGGAGUAGAGGUAUAAAUCUGACAAAAAUG
rnacentral:lncRNA from 12 species